UGCGCAGAUUGUCGUUUACAUUCAGGGCGGGAAAGACGCGGCUCGGACAGAAAGAGAAGAGACAGACAGACAGACAGACAGACAGACAGACAGACAGGAUGAAUGUGUAUUUCUGCGGGAGUAUCCGCGGCGGGAGAGAUGACGUGUACGUUUACCGGAGGAUCGUUCAGAAGCUGCAGAGCUACGGGAGCGUGCUGACCGAGCACGUGAGCUGCUGCGAGCUCACAGACAGAGGAGAGGCCCUGGUGGCAGACCGAGCCAUCCAUGACCGAGACGUGGCCUGGCUCCAGCAAGCUGACGUGAUUGUUGCCGAGGUAACACAGCCGU